rnacentral:rRNA from 1 species
UACGUAGGGUGCGAGCGUUCAUCGGAAUUACUGGGCGUAAAGCGUGCGCAGGCGGUUUUGUAAGCCAGGUGUGAAAUCCCCGGGCUCAACCUGGGAAUGGCAUUUGGGACUGCAAGGCUGGAGUGCGGCAGAGGAGACUGGAAUUCCUGGUGUAGCAGUGAAAUGCGUAGAUAUCAGGAGGAACACCGAUGGCGAAGGCAGGUCUCUGGGCUGACACUGACGCUCAUGCACGAAAGCGUGGGGAGCAAACAGG